UACGUAGGGUGCAAGCGUUAAUCGGAAUUACUGGGCGUAAAGCGUGCGCAGGCGGUUUCGUAAGUCAGAUGUGAAAGCCCCGGGCUUAACCUGGGAACUGCAUUUGAAACUGCGAGGCUAGAGUGUGUCAGAGGGGGGUAGAAUUCCACGUGUAGCAGUGAAAUGCGUAGAGAUGUGGAGGAAUACCGAUGGCGAAGGCAGCCCCCUGGGAUAACACUGACGCUCAUGCACGAAAGCGUGGGGAGCAAACAGG
rnacentral:rRNA from 1 species